rnacentral:rRNA from 1 species
GAUGAACGCUGGCGGCGUGCCUAAUACAUGCAAGUCGAGCGAACAGACGAGGAGCUUGCUCCGCUGUCGUUAGCCGCGGACGGGUGAGUAACACGUGUAUCAUCUACCUAUCAGACUGGGAUAACUUGGGGAAACCGGCGCUAAUCCCGUAUAAUCUACUGAACCGCAUGGUUCAAUGGUGAAAUACGGCUUUUCUGUCUCUACUCGAUGGAUCCCCGCCGCAUUAGCUAGUUGGUGAGUUACAGGCUUACCAAGGCAACGAUGCGUAGACGACGUGAGAGGGUGAUCGGCCACACUGGAGCUGAGACGCGGUCCAGACGCCUACGGGAGGCAGCAGUAGGGAAUCUUACGCAGUGGGCGGAAGCUUGGCGGAACAGCGCCGCGUGAGAUAUGAAGGUCUUCGGAUCGUAAAACUCGGUUAUUAGUGAAGAACAAAUGUGUAAGUAACUAUGCACGUCUUGACGGUAACUAGUAAGAAAGCCACGGCUAACUACGUG